CUCGGCGCACAGCUCAGUAACACGUGGCUAACCUGCCCUUGGGACAGAAACAUCCCCGGGAAACUGGGGCUAAUUUCCGAUAGGUGAAGACUCCUGGAAUGGAUUUUCGCCGAAAGGGCGCUUAGGGCAUGCUUCUAGGCGUUGCCCAAGGAUGGGGCCGCGGCCGAUCAGGUUGUUGGUGAGGUAAUGGCUCACCAAGCCUUUAACCGGUACGGGCCGUGGGAGCGGUAGCCCGGAGAUGGGCACUGAGACAAGGGCCCAGGCCCUACGGGGCGCAGCAGUCGCGAAAACUUCGCAAUAAGCGAAAGCUUGACGGGGCCAUCCCGAGUGCCAUCUGCUGAGGAUGGCUUUUACCCAGUAUAGAUAGCUGGGGGAAUAAGGAGAGGGCAAGUCUGGUGUCAGCCGCCGCGGUAAUACCAGCUCUCCGAGUUGUAGGGAUGUUUAUUGGGCCUAAAGCAUCCGUAGCCGGCUGGACAAGUCCUCUGUUAAAUCCAGCGACCAAUCGUUGGUCUGCGGGGGAUACUGUCCGGCUAGGGGGCGGGAGAGGCCGUCGGUAUUCUUGGGGUAGGGGUGAAAUCCUAUAAUCCCAGGAGGACCACCAGUGGCGAAGGCUGUCGGCUAGAACGCGCCCGACGGUGAGGGAUGAAAGCUGGGGGAGCGAACCGGAUUAGAUACCCGGGUAGUCCCAGCUGUAAACGAUGCAGGCUAGGUGUUAGGGCGGCUACGUGCCGCUCUAGUGCCGCAGGGAAGCUGUUAAGCCUGCCGCCUGGGGAGAACGCCGGCAAGGCUGAACUUAAAGGCCA
rnacentral:rRNA from 1 species